rnacentral:rRNA from 1 species
ACCCGGUAGCUAAGCCCUUCAGCGCCGAUGGUACUGCGCGGGGGACCGCGUGGGAGAGUAGGACGCCGCCGGAC